rnacentral:rRNA from 1 species
AUUGAACGCUGGCGGCAGGCUUAACACAUGCAAGUCGAGCGGGGUGAUGGUGCUUGCACUAUCACUUAGCGGCGGACGGGUGAGUAAUGCUUAGGAAUCUGCCUAUUAGUGGGGGACAACAUCUCGAAAGGGAUGCUAAUACCGCAUACGUCCUACGGGAGAAAGCAGGGGAUCACUUGUGACCUUGCGCUAAUAGAUGAGCCUAAGUCGGAUUCGCUAGUUGGUGGGGUAAAGGCCUACCAAGGCGACGAUCUGUAGCGGGUCUGAGAGGAUGAUCCGCCACACUGGGACUGAGACACGGCCCAGACUCCUACGGGAGGCAGCAGUGGGGAAUAUUGGACAAUGGGGGGAGCCCUGAUCCAGCCAUGCCGCGUGUGUGAAGAAGGCCUUAUGGUUGUAAAGCACUUUAAGCGAGGAGGAGGCUCUUUUGGUUAAUACCCAAGAUGAGUGGACGUUACUCGCAGAAUAAGCACCGGCUAACUCUGUGCCAGCAGCCGCCGUAA